AGAGUUUGAUCCUGGCUCAGGAUGAACGCUGGCGGCGUGCCUAACACAUGCAAGUUGAGCGAUUUACUUCGGUAAAGAGCGGCGGACGGGUGAGUAACGCGUGGGUAACCUACCCUGUACACACGGAUAACAUACCGAAAGGUAUGCUAAUACGGGAUAAUAUAUUUGAGAGGCAUCUCUUAAUAUCAAAGGUGAGCCAGUACAGGAUGGACCCGCGUCUGAUUAGCUAGUUGGUAAGGUAACGGCUUACCAAGGCGACGAUCAGUAGCCGACCUGAGAGGGUGAUCGGCCACAUUGGAACUGAGACACGGUCCAAACUCCUACGGGAGGCAGCAGUGGGGAAUAUUGCACAAUGGGCGAAAGCCUGAUGCAGCAACGCCGCGUGAGUGAUGAAGGCCUUCGGGUCGUAAAACUCUGUCCUCAAGGAAGAUAAUGACGGUACUUGAGGAGGAAGCCCCGGCUAACUACGUGCCAGCAGCCGCGGUAAUACGUAGGGGGCUAGCGUUAUCCGGAUUUACUGGGCGUAAAGGGUGCGUAGGCGGUCUUUCAAGUCAGGAGUGAAAGGCUACGGCUCAACCGUAGUAAGCUCUUGAAACUGGGAGACUUGAGUGCAGGAGAGGAGAGUGGAAUUCCUAGUGUAGCGGUGAAAUGCGUAGAUAUUAGGAGGAACACCAGUUGCGAAGGCGGCUCUCUGGACUGUAACUGACGCUGAGGCACGAAAGCGUGGGGAGCAAACAGGAUUAGAUACCCUGGUAGUCCACGCUGUAAACGAUGAGUACUAGGUGUCGGGGGUUACCCCCUCGGUGCCGCAGCUAACGCAUUAAGUACUCCGCCUGGGAAGUACGCUCGCA
rnacentral:rRNA from 1 species